UCUCAUAUUUUUAAUUUGUAUAUGAUUUCCAUUUUUGAUUUUCACUCCAUUUUUCUAUAUGAUAAAUUAUUCAUAACCUUUACUUGAUACUUUAAGGAGGUUGCUUCAAGUAUUGCUACUUUACUUUAUUUGAUCCAUUCUUUUUUUUUUUUGGAACAUAAGUUAAUCACUACAAGGCACAUGAAGAUUCUUUUGCUGACGAACAGUAAAUAUUAUUGUUUAUUAGUUACUCUUUUAAAUUCGUUCUUAGAUUUUUAAAAAACUUAGACAGUUGGAUCCAAUUACUACGACCUAGCAUUUUGUGAGCCUUCUAACUUACUUUAUACAUGAAUUGUAUUUAGGGGAAAAUACUUUUGCUGCAGAACAUCAAAUACUAGCUACUGCAGAUUUGAAAAAUAUGAGGAAGAUUGUUCUUAGUAGCUAUUCGAGUUGAGCAUUUACUGAAAGUGCAUGAAAUAAGAUGGCGAGUUUCUUGACUGAUUUGGCGAAGCCAUAUGUGGAGAAAUUGAUAAAUGGCGUGAUUGCAAAAUCGAGUUAUAUAUGUUGCUUCAUGUGCAUUGCUAAGGAUUUUGAAGAAGAAAAAGCUAGGUUGGAAGUAGAAAGGACAACUUUCAAGCAACGCAUUGAAGUGGCAACCCGAAGAGGGGAAGAUGUUCAAGCUAAUGCUCUUUCUUGGGUAGAAGAAGCUGAUAAGCUCAUUCAAGAAGACACCAAAACAAAACAAAAAUGUUUUUUUGAAUUUUGUCCUCAUUGCAUAUGGAGAUAUAGAAGAGGAAAAGUACUGGCAAAUAAGAAGGAUCAUAUUAAAGAAUUAAUGGAAGCUGGAAAGGAACUUACAAUUGGACUCCCAACUCGUCUUCCAGAUGUUGAACGCUAUUCAUCCCAACACUAUAUGCAUUUUAAAAGUAGAGAAUCCAAAUACAUUGAGCUUUUGGAUGAACUCAAAGAUGACAACAAUUAUAUGAUUGGGUUGCAAGGGAUGGGGGCACAGGAAAAACUACAUUGAUCAAGGAAGUGGGUAAGAAACUUAAGCAAUCAAAGCAAUUUACUCAUAUCAUCGAUAUCGCAGUGUCAUUUUCUCCUAAUAUCAAAAAGAUUCAAGAUGAUAUUGUUGGGGCCUUGGGAUUGAAAUUUGAUGACUGUAAUGAAUCAGAUCGACCCAAAAAACUAUGGAGUAUACUAACCAAUUAUCUGCACCGUAUUUAUUAUUUUAUUUACUAUUAUUUUGCAACAUCAAUAUCUUUUUUAUACCGCCUUAGAUAAACAUUGUAACGAUAGUAAUCGAUAGAUUGACGAUUUGGUCUC